GUACUAACAAUAAAUUAUCUUCAAACAUUAAAAUAUAUAAUUUUGUGUUUGACUUCAAUUUUUAUAGAAAAUUGAAGAACGGACACAUUUGUCUGGAAUCACCACAAAAUUAGGACGAUGCAUUUUAAUUUUGAAGGUAGUUAUUCAGCAUUUCGAAAUAAUUGAGACUAUGCCACCUGCAGUUUUCCUGAAUUUUAGAAAAUAUUUGAAGAGCGGAUCAGGAUUUCAAAGUCUACAGUUUCGCCAGAUUGAAAAUACUCUUGGUCUAAGACCUGAGACACGAGAGCAGGAUCAACCAGGAAAGGAUUACAAAGAUGCUCUCAAUACAGAACAAAGCGAGGUAGCAAAAGACUCAGAAAAAGGGGAUACCCUAUUUUCAGUUGCAGAGACAUGGCUAAAAAAUGUAUUUGGUACCUAUGUCAGGGAUCGGGUUCAGUAUUUUAACGUGCUGAGUGAAAUGAUGAAAACAUGGGCUGAGGAUACCACAAUGGAGGAGCAUCAUAGAGGAAAUAAGGAAGCAUUUGAUAAGAUUCUGAAAGAAGAUACCUAUGAAACCAUACCAGGUAAAUAAAUGUUUCUGAGUUGUUGACAUUUUUCGUUUGAUAAAUUUUUCUUACCUUUUUUCUUGUCUAUUCAAUUUAAAGAUAGGAGACUUACUUUCGAGGCUUUCCACGGAGCGUUGUUGAUUUCACUUUACCAAGACGAACCGGAAUUCCAAAGCGCAUACCAUACAAUAAAGCUUUUUAUGGACAUAGACUCUUUAGUCUCAAAAUGGCGCCAUACGCAUGUUCUCAUGGUUCAUCGUAUGCUUGGAAAGAAAACUGGAACAGGGGGCUCUUCGGGAUACGACUACUUAAAAAGGACUAAUCAAGAUAAAUACAGAGUGUUCAUGGAAUUUUUUAAUAUGGGUGCAUAUCUCAUCCCGGAAGAUUACAAGAGAGGGGAAAAACCGUAUUCUGUUCCUUAAAGUGUAGAAGGAAUCUAAGGGACAUGUGGUGAAAUUAAUUGUUUAUGAUACGUAAAACUCUGGUUAGAGAGAUAUGAAUGUGAAUUGCUUAUGAUAUGCACAAAAAAUGUUUUAACGACUUUUUAAUUUUCAAAUGAUCAGGUAAAAAACCUCAGUUAAAUAUUUUAAACACCCAAUACUAUUCCCUGAAUUUGUAUUUAAUUCCGUACAUGUAUCAAUUAUAACACUUUUUGCAUAUGAUUCGGUGAAGAACCAGGAAAAAAAUGGAAAAUUAAUUAUUAAAUUAAAAACAACAAAGAGCUUGACAAGUUAAAAGAAGAAUUGACUAGAACCAAAACCGUACGUUCUUCAUAAUGUUUAUCGUAGGGUUUUUUUUCAUAUUUCUUGUCAUUUAUUUUCAUUGCGAUGAAAACAUUUUAUCAAUUUCAAUGUAUAAGAAUUUUUUAAAACUUGAUCGAUAUCAUAAGAUAAAUAGUUUACUGAUGUCUUGGUAUUUUAGAAAAAAAAUAUGGCAAGUUGGCUAUUUCAGAAAUAUCCAAAUAUUAUCAUACUUUUUAUUAUGUUAUAGAUAUAGGAUAGUUUCUUGUAUUCUGAGCCGAUUGAACUUGAGAUUUUGUAUGUGUUUUCUGUUCUGUUGUGGGAAAAUGACUUUCUUUUGACCUCCUUAAAAUUUAGCAGAAUGUGUGAUGAUAGAUAGUUUAUUGAAGUAUGAAACACUUCUUUAAGUGUUUAAAUUCCACUUGAACAUGAAAACCAAAGUUUUGCCUGUAAAGAAAACCAUGAUCAACCGUUGUAACAGAAAACAAACGCCAAUUAUAACAGUUGUUUCUUUCGGGGAUACAUGAACAAUUUAUUAAUUUGCAUUGAUUUCCUUUUAUGAAAUUAAUUAGAAUUGCUUGCUUCUGUUUAAAAGUUUUCUUAUAUACCAAGACGAUUUUAACAUGCUUCUGUAUUAUUAGACGGACUUGUAAUAAGUAUUGCCUCCUGAGCAUAUAUACUCAUAAUUUGUUUACAAAAAUUAAUUAUUAAAUUAAUACUUGUACAUGUAUGCAUGUUAAUGUUUCGAUGUAUUUCAAGAAAUAUCGAUUGUCAUGAUUUUGAAUAUGUUGUUUUGAAUUCAAUAUUAACAAAUGUUAUACAGUUAAUAAAAGAAAUAUACUGU
rnacentral:misc_RNA from 1 species